UAAUCUGUCUGGGGCAGGUUCUCAUAUAAUUGUGAUAAACCCACACCUGACUGUUCAGAAUCAUUUGUUAUCGCAAGCCCAACUACAUCAAUUAGAUGGAAGCUUUCUACUUGUUCUUUUU
rfam:Populus trichocarpa isolate Nisqually-1 chromosome 5, whole genome shotgun sequence.